rnacentral:tRNA from 1 species
UGGCUCAGAGGUUAAAGCAUCUGCCUGCAAUGCGGGAGACCCAGGUUUGAUCCCUGG